UACGGAGGGGGCUAGCGUUGUUCGGAAUUACUGGGCGUAAAGCGCACGUAGGCGGCUUUGUAAGUUAGAGGUGAAAGCCCGGAGCUCAACUCCGGAAUUGCCUUUAAGACUGCAUCGCUUGAAUCAUGGAGAGGUGAGUGGAAUUCCGAGUGUAGAGGUGAAAUUCGUAGAUAUUCGGAAGAACACCAGUGGCGAAGGCGACUCACUGGACAUGUAUUGACGCUGAGGUGGCGAAAAGCGUGGGGAGCAACAGG
rnacentral:rRNA from 1 species